AGUGAACGCUGGCGGUAGGCCUAACACAUGCAAGUCGAACGGCAGCACAGUAAGAGCUUGCUCUUACGGGUGGCGAGUGGCGGACGGGUGAGGAAUACAUCGGAAUCUACUUUUUCGUGGGGGAUAACGUAGGGAAACUUACGCUAAUACCGCAUACGACCUACGGGUGAAAGCAGGGGAUCUUCGGACCUUGCGCGAUUGAAUGAGCCGAUGUCGGAUUAGCUAGUUGGCGGGGUAAAGGCCCACCAAGGCGACGAUCCGUAGCUGGUCUGAGAGGAUGAUCAGCCACACUGGAACUGAGACACGGUCCAGACUCCUGCGGGAGGCAGCAGUUGGGAAUAUUGGACAAUGGGCGCAAGCCUAAUCCAGCCAUACCGCGUGGGUGAAGAAGGCCUUCGGGUUGUAAAGCCCUUUUGUUGGGAAAGAAAAGCAGCAGGUUAAUACCCCGCUGUUCUGACGGUACCCAAAGAAUAAGCAACGGCUAACUUCGUG
rnacentral:rRNA from 1 species